UGGGGAAUAUUGGACAAUGGGCGAAAGCCUGAUCCAGCCAUGCCGCGUGAGUGACGAAGGCCUUAGGGUUGUAAAACUCUUUCGUCGGGGACGAUAAUGACGGUACCCGAAGAAGAAGCUCUGGCUAACUUCGUGCCAGCAGCCGCGGUAAUACGAAGGGAGCUAGCGUUGUUCGGAAUCACUGGGCGUAAAGCGCACGUAGGCGGAUAGUUAAGUCAGGGGUGAAAUCCUGGGGCUCAACCCCAGAACUGCCUUUGAUACUGGCUGUCUCGAGGUCGAGAGAGGUUGGUGGAAUUCCUAGUGUAGAGGUGAAAUUCGUAGAUAUUAGGAAGAACACCAGUGGCGAAGGCGGCCAACUGGCUCGAUACUGACGCUGAGGUGCGAAAGCGUGGGGAGCAAACAGGAUUAGAUACCCCCGUAGUCCCUGAGCGGGCUGGCAAGGCGCAU
rnacentral:rRNA from 1 species